GAGAACCGUGGCAGGAAAAAGUUAAGUUUCAUUCAUUCAAAAGUGCUCUUCCAGAAGUCUAAGAAGCUGUUACUAGAGGGAGCAGGAUGUCUAAGGUUUGGUUGGAGGCAUGUGGGGUGGGGAACUUACUUUUCAAGACAAUAGACUGUCAGGUGUUCUAGGCCCUGCAUCCUGCCCAAGCCAAUUCAUCAGUUAUUAUUUAGAAAACGGUUUUGUUGUGUUCCUGUGUCAGCUUUCGUUACUGUUUCCUUCUUAAUGAAGUGACUGGGGAUGGGGUGAGUAGGUACAGUACAGGGUGGGAGGAGGUGGCGAAGAGGGAAUGGAGAGGAGUGUUCCUGGCUUCUGUUGUGGCGUCUCUUCUAUUUGACUUCAUGGUUGUAAGUAUUUCCAGAUGGUGAAUCAGACACCAGACGUAACAAUAUUUCCAUAUUUGGGUAUAGCAGUAGCCUGCGUUUUUAACAUUUUUCUGCCUCUGUUAUCCAGCCACAAAGCAUUCUUGACAGCUUCAAAUGUUGUUAAAUAUAGACUUAACUUCUGUUCCCAGAGCAGGAAAUUCUUUGGAAUUCCUUGUUUUUCACGCAAUCUGUCUAUCAUAAUCUAAAAUAAAAUUACAGUGGAUGAUCCAACUGGCUUGUGUAUACACCUUGCUCCUUUAUGGAAGUUUGUGUGUAUGUGUGUGUGUGUGUGUGUGUGUGUGUGUGGAGGAGGGGGCUCAAAGAGACUCAGUCUGCUGCACAGCAUUCAAAAGCACACCAUUCCAGAGAUUCCUUUAAAAAUCAGAUUAAAGUUUUCUAACAAGGGUUGUGUGCGUUUGUUUCUGGACUUCAUUUGGGGAAUCUUGGAGGAUGAGUUUGCCCCAGAGGAGAAACUUACAGAACCUCACCGUCAGCUGCCCAUUUAAAGCAGGGGGUGUGUGAUGGGAGGGGGCGGGAAACUGCAGCAAACUGGGCCAGGACGCUGGGGAGCCGGAGAGACGGGAGUAACCUGUGUAUACAGCCUUUCUAUAUACUAUGUCCUGGUGAGACUGCUAGUAAACGACAGCCUCAGACAGGAGGAACAGCAGCUCCUCAAGUCCUGCUCAAAGAAGGUCCAGAAACCCCAGAUGUCCCAUCGCCUUCUCCCCUCCUCUGCUGAGAGCUGCAGAUCAGUUCACGUUGACAGAUUGAAGGGUAAAUGUGCAAACGUUCAUGGUUUCAUCGGUGCAGAAAAGGAGCUCUGGCAACUUCUGCUGAGACUUUUCCAUAGGAAAUCCUUCCAAAAAAAAAGCAACAGCUAUUUUGAAGACCAACUUUCCAAAAAUUGUAUUCAGGUAAGUUAAAUUUUAGAUGUUAUCCCUUAUAGCUAAAAGUGAACACAUUUGACUUAAUCAUGUUAAUCAAAAAUGUAUUUGCAUUCAAGUGUUCUUAUAUAUCAGUACUCUUGGAUG
rnacentral:lncRNA from 1 species